rnacentral:rRNA from 1 species
UGAGUAACCUGCCCUGGACUUUGGGAUAACCCUCGGAAACGGGGGCUAAUACCGGAUAUGACGGCUCACCGCAUGGUGUGGUUGUGGAAAGUUUUUCGGUCUGGGAUGGGCUCGCGGCCUAUCAGCUUGUUGGUGGGGU